CCCGGUGAUGCCCUUUCAGCCAGAAUUGAGAAUACUUACAGACACUUACAGACAGAAUAAUCAUUGCUCAAAGAUGCUGAUGGUUCUCUAGAGUCACCUGUGCUGUCAAGGCGGUUGGGUGAGGAAGGAGGGCAGAUGAUUUGGCUGUUUGUGGCAGGCUUGAAUUCUCAAAGACCUUAAGGGCAGGCAGGUCAUAUUCAUGUGAAGAGGGCCAAGUGUGAGACAAUAAGGAACAAAUGAACUGUGGCAAUGUGGAGAAUGAGUACUCGAUUAUUAAAGCUCUCCACCCAGCCAAGCAAAUGUGUAACCCGAAUGAAUUCAGCAGGAGAGGUGUUAUUGGUGUUGACCUCUGGAUUUACUUAAAACUUGGAGGAGUGUGGUGUGUGUGUGUGUGUGUGUGAUUCUGUUUAUUAGCCAGGAUUGAGAACCACUUCCAUAAUUCUCAAUCCUGGAUCCUUUAUUUUAAAAAAUAAGUUCCGUGCUCUUUGGAGAGCAACAGGCUAUCCAAAUAAGACUGAAGAGGUGUAAACAAGUAGGAUCUACAGAACACCCAGGACCAAUUUCCAGGUAAGUUUAAAAGGAAGCUUAUGGCUUCCCUGAUGGCACAUUGAAGAAUCUGCCAGCAAUUAGGGAGAUCUGGGUUUGAUCCCCAGUUUGGGAAGAUCCCCUGGAAAAGGGAAUGGCUAUUCAUUACAGUAUUCUUGCCUGGAGAAUUCCAUGGACAGAGGAGCCUGGCAGGCCACAGUCCAUGGGGUCACAAAGAGUCGGACACUUUCACUUUCACUUGAAUGUCUCAUCAUCUCAGUUUUCCUGAGACAUUAAAGGAGGGCUAAAAAGAGGAAACUCAGAAACUGGAAGAGUUGCUCAUUGACUAAACUUGAUCAUAAUUUCCCAAAUAAGCCUGACACUGCUGCCCUUUUGCCAUGUUCCUCCUUUGAAAAGGAGCAAGGGGCAAGGACAGCAAAACCUCCUCAGAGUCCAGGAGGAGAUGCUGGCAGGCUCCUCUCCCACACCUGAAACGUGGAGGGCACAGAAGUC
rnacentral:lncRNA from 1 species